rnacentral:piRNA from 1 species
UGUUGGGAUCUCUGCGGAAGGGG